UUCUUGACAGAUUGAUUUAUUUAUUUCAGUAACUUGGCCUUCCUGAGAAAGGGAGGCUCAGCGCCAGGGCGGGCACAGGGACAACCUGGGGGGACGAGGGAGGGGCCUCCUCCUCCGAGGACAGCGGGGACUCCAGGCUGAAGGGCAGACCCCUGGGGCCUUCUCCCUGCCCUCCCAGUAGGUCAGGGGCCCCCAGGCUCUCAAGCAGGAACAUGCAGCCCCCACAGACAGUUGUCUCCUCAUUGUCAUCCUGGCCUCUGCCCCCUACAUGGGUCUGCUGGAACCCAUCUUAUGGCUCAUCACCAACAACCCGAGGCCACAGUGAGCCAGGCAUAGUAAAGAGCUGAUUUGAACCCAGACCUCUGCCUCCCUGCACCCACUCCCAUCUACCUAAAGAAAAGACUUUGACCAUGAAUCCCGAGGGGGUAGGGGCCGAGCCUCACUAACAGCUCGCCCCAGCCCUCUCCUGGUCCUGGGGCUUCUUUCCUGCUGCGCUGGCUGGGCCCAUCUGUGCCUCCAGCCCCAAGGCUUAGGAGCCCUACUCCCCUGCCUGUGUUCCCGUCACACUGCCCACGCCCCCAGGCAGGGACUCCAGAGGCUGACGGGGAGCCCCGCAGAACCUGCAACUGAGGAAGGGCCGGCCACAGGAGCUGCCCAGACUCAGGCCUUUCCUGCCCACCAACCCCCCGGCCGUCCAGGAAGUCACUGUGGUGGCCGCCAGCAAAGCUUCCCCUCCAGGUUUUCCCCGCCUUGCUGAUGCUGCACCC
rnacentral:lncRNA from 1 species